rnacentral:rRNA from 1 species
CUUGCUUCUUUGCUGGCGACCGGCGCACGGGUGAGUAACACGUAUCCAACCUGCCCUUUACUCGGGGAUAGCCUUUCGAAAGAAAGAUUAAUACCCGAUGGGAUAAUUAUUCCGCAUGGUUUGAUUAUUAAAGGAUUCCGGUAAAGGAUGGGGAUGCGUUCCAUUAGGUUGUUGGUGAGGUAACGGCUCACCAAGCCUUCGAUGGAUAGGGGUUCUGAGAGGAAGGUCCCCCACAUUGGAACUGAGACACGGUCCAA